GGGAUGAUGGUCCAAGGGUAAGAUUCUCGCUUCGGGUGCGAGAGGCUCCGGGUUCGAGUCCCGGUCGUCCCC
rfam:Gonapodya prolifera JEL478 unplaced genomic scaffold M427scaffold_67, whole genome shotgun sequence.